AAAUAUAUAAUGACAUUAGAUCCUGUUGCCCCUCUUUUAACCUUAUCUUUCUUAAAGGCUGCUUCAGAGAAGAUCCUUCCCUCACCCCAGUGUUAUUAUACAUCAAAUUUAUUAAGAUCUGAAGAAAUAUAGGAGAAAACACCUGGAGGGAGAAAUCAGAGAGGACAUAGAGAUUAAUGUGCUGAAGCAGCUCCUACUUGCAACGACGAAAAAGUGGAAUUUUAGCUGCUUCUGAGGGACAGAAUAAGGCUAAUGAAAUCAUGUCAGCUGAGCCACUUGAGGAGGGGCAAGCACACCAAGAUGGCAGAGAGAAACAAUUCCUGCAGAGAAGAGGAUCUGCUCAUUUGCAAUACGUUGGUGACAGCUGCCAUGUGCCAAAGGAUUGUGUGAUGGAGGACACGGCA
rnacentral:lncRNA from 1 species